rnacentral:tRNA from 1 species
GCCUGGGUGGCUCAGUUGGUAGGGCAUCUGACUUCCACUCAAGUCAUGAUCUCGUGGUUUGUGGGUUUGAGCCCCUCAUUGGGCU